rnacentral:rRNA from 1 species
UACGAAGGGUGCAAGCGUUACUCGGAAUUACUGGGCGUAAAGCGUGCGUAGGCGGUUCGUUAAGUCUGUCGUGAAAGCCCUGGGCUCAACCUGGGAAUUGCGAUGGAUACUGGCGAGCUAGAGUACGGUAGAGGAUGGUGGAAUUCCCGGUGUAGCGGUGAAAUGCGUAGAGAUCGGGAGGAACACCCGUGGCGAAGGCGGCCAUCUGGACCAGUACUGACGCUGAGGCACGAAGGCGUGGGGAGCAAACAGG